rnacentral:rRNA from 1 species
GUGCCAGCAGCCGCGGUAAUACAGAGGGUGCGAGCGUUAAUCGGAAUUACUGGGCGUAAAGGGCGCGUAGGCGGUUGGACAAGUGAGAUGUGAAAUCCCCGGGCUUAACCCGGGAACUGCAUUUUAUACUGUCUGGCUGGAGUACUGUAGAGGGUAGUGGAAUUUCCGGUGUAGCGGUGAAAUGCGUAGAGAUCGGAAGGAACACCAGUGGCGAAGGCGGCUACCUGGACAGAUACUGACGCUGAGGCGCGAGAGCGUGGGGAGCAAACAGGAUUAGAAACCCCAGUAGUCC